rnacentral:rRNA from 1 species
AUUGAACGCUGGCGGCAUGCUUUACACAUGCAAGUCGAACGGUAACAGGCCUUCGGGUGCUGACGAGUGGCGAACGGGUGAGUAAUGCAUCGGAACGUGCCCAGAGGUGGGGGAUAACGCAGCGAAAGCUGUGCUAAUACCGCAUGUGAUCUGAGGAUGAAAGCGGGGGACCAGGCAGCAAUGUUUUGCCUCGCGCCUUUGGAGCGGCCGAUGUCAGAUUAGGUAGUUGGUGGGGUAAAGGCCUACCAAGCCGACGAUCUGUAGCUGGUCUGAGAGGACGACCAGCCACACUGGGACUGAGACACGGCCCAGACUCCUACGGGAGGCAGCAGUGGGGAAUUUUGGACAAUGGGCGCAAGCCUGAUCCAGCAAUGCCGCGUGCGGGAAGAAGGCCUUCGGGUUGUAAACCGCUUUUGUACGGAACGAAAAGGCUCUGGCUAAUACCUGGGGCUGAUGACGGUACCGUAAGAAUAAGCACCGGCUAACUACGUG